UACCAGCACCCCGAGUGGUCGGGACGAUUAUUGGGCCUAAAGCAUCCGUAGCCGGCCUUACAAGUCCUCCGUUAAAUCCAGCUGCUUAACAGAUGGGCUGCGGAGGAUACUAUAAGACUAGGAGGCAGGAGAGGCAAGCGGUACUCAGUGGGUAGGGGUAAAAUCCGUUGAUCCAUUGUAGACCACCAGUGGCGAAGGCGGCUUGCCAGAAUGCGCUCGACGGUGAGGGAUGAAAGCUGGGGGAGCGAAUGGG
rnacentral:rRNA from 1 species